ensembl:lncRNA
UCAUAACAAAUUCAAGGAGGUGUGUGUGUGUGUGUGUGUGUGUGUGUGUGUGUGUGUGUGUGUGUGUGUGUGUGUGUGUGUGUGUGUGUGUGUGUGUGUGUGUGUGUGUGUGUGUGUGUGUGUGUGUGUGUGUGUGUGUGUGUGUGUGUGUGCGGCCGGGCGUGCGUGCGCAAUUGUUAACCAGAGGGAUUAAAAUAAAACAGGUAGAAUAAUACUGUGAAGAGAGACAGAAAGACCAGUCUUCCAGUCUUUGGGAGUGAGGCCUUAGUGAUGGGCACGCGGCCAGAGCAUAUCGAGCCCUCCCUCUGUGAUGUCAUAAUGAGAGAUGAGGAGACAGGGCCGAACAGGAAAUAGUGGAGGAAGUGAUGGAUCUAGCCCAGAGGGCACCAGGUGCUGGGAGACAGAGGGAGAUCUGUUAACACCUCUAAAGCACGACUGUGCUUCACUACUGCUACACUGUGCUACGCUACUGCUACACUGUGCUACACUAGUGCUACGCUACUUCUACACUAUGCUACGCUACUGCUACAAUGUGCUACGCUACACUACUGCUACACUGUGCUACACUACUGCUACACUGUGCUACGCUACUGCUGCACUGUGCUGCGCUACUUCUACACUAUGCUACACUACCUCUACACUGUGCUAUGCAUUUGCCAUACUGUGCUACCCUACUGCUACACUGUGCUACCCUACUUCUGCACUGUGCUACCCUACUUCUGCACUGUGCUCCACUACUGCUACACUGUGCUACACUACUGCCUCACUGUUCUAUGCUACUUCUACACUAUGCUACACUGCUGCUGCACUGUGCUACGCUACUUCUACACUUUGCUACACUACCUCUACACUGUGUUACGCAACUGCUAUACUGUGCUACCCUACUAAUAUACUGUGCUACACUACUGCUACACUGUGCUACACUACUGCCUCACUGUUCUAUGCUACUUCUACACUAUGCUACACUACUGCUGCACUGUGCUACGCUACUUCUACACUAUGCUACACUACCUCUACACUGUGUUACGCAACUGCUAUACUGUGCUACCCUACUGCUGCACUGUGCUACCCUACUAAUAUACUGUGCUACACUACUGCUACACUGUGCUACACUACUGCUGCACUGUGCUACACUACUUCUGCACUGUGCUACACUACUUCUACACUGUGCUACGCUACUGCUACACUGUGCUACACUACUGCUGCACUGUGCUACGCUACUUCUACACUGUGCUACACUACUGCUGCACUGUGCUACGCUACUGCUGCACUGUGCUACACUACCUCUACACUGUGCUACACUGUGCUACGCUACUGCUGCACUGUGCUACACUGUGCUGCGCUACUGCUGCACUGUGCUAUGCUACUGCUGCACUGUGCUACGCUACUGUUGCACUGUGCUACGCUACUUCUACACUGUGCUACACUACCUCUACACUGUGCUUCACUACCUCUACACUGUGCUACACUACUCCUACACUGUGCUACACUACUGCUGCAUUGUGCUACGCUACUGCUGCACUGUGCUACACUGUGUUACACUGUGCUACGCUACUGCUGCACUGUGCUACACUGUGUUACACUGUGCUACGCUGUCCUACGCUACUGCUGCACUGUGCUACGCUACUGCUGCACUGUGCUACACUACUGCUACACUGUGCUACGCUGCUGCUGCACUGUGCUACGCUACUGCUACACUGUGCUACACUACUUCUACACUGUGCUACACUACCUCUACACUGUGCUACACUACUGCUGCACUGUGCUACACUACUGCUACACUGUGCUACACUGUGCUACACUGUGCUACACUGCAAAACACAAAAUACUGCAGGGUGGACUACAUACA